GAUGAACGCUGGCGGCGUGCCUAAUACAUGCAAGUCGAGCGAACGGACGAGAAGCUUGCUUCUCUGAUGUUAGCGGCGGACGGGUGAGUAACACGUGGAUAACCUACCUAUAAGACUGGGAUAACUUCGGGAAACCGCAGCUAAUACCGGAUAAUAUUUUGAACCGCAUGGUUCAAAAGUGAAAGACGGUCUUGCUGUCACUUAUAGAUGGAUCCGCGCUGCAUUAGCUAGUUGGUAAGGUAACGGCUUACCAAGGCAACGAUGCAUAGCCGACCUGAGAGGGUGAUCGGCCACACUGGAACUGAGACACGGUCCAGACUCCUACGGGAGGCAGCAGUAGGGAAUCUUCCGCAAUGGGCGAAAGCCUGACGGAGCAACGCCGCGUGAGUGAUGAAGGUCUUCGGAUCGUAAAACUCUGUUAUUAGGGAAGAACAUAUGUGUAAGUAACUGUGCACAUCUUGACGGUACCUAAGCAGAAAGCCACGGCUAACUACGU
rnacentral:rRNA from 1 species